GAAAAAAAAAAAAAAAAAAACAACUCUUUUAAAUCUCGAGAAUCAAGGGAGAUGUGUCGAGAGAUAAAGGCAAACAAAAAUCGACGGUUUGAUCAGACAAGGAACCCAUAAAGUCGGAAAAAUCAACGGACGUUAAAACCAUGAGGAAAUUAAAAAAAAAAAAUCUUUCUUCGAUCGAUUGUCACGUAAAUGAAACGGAAAAAUCACAGCUUUUUCACGCCUGCAACUGUCAUAUUGUUGCUCUUGUUGUUGGGUUUUUUUUUUAUUUAAUGAGGGGAAAUU
rnacentral:misc_RNA from 1 species